CGGCACGGGUGAGUAACGCGUAUGCGACCUGCCCGUUGCAGGGGGGAUAAUCGGGAGAAAUCCCGUCUAAUACCGCGUAACGCCGCGGGGCUGCAUGGCCCUGCGGCCAAAGGGAGCGAUUCCGGCAACGGAUGGGCAUGCGUGACAUUAGCUAGUUGGCGGGGCAACGGCCCACCAAGGCGACGAUGUCUAGGGGUUCUGAGAGGAAGGUCCCCCACACUGGUACUGAGACACGGACCAGACUCCUACGGAAGGCAGCAG
rnacentral:rRNA from 1 species